rnacentral:rRNA from 1 species
GGUCUAAGUCCCUUGGAACGGGGCGUCAUAGAGGGUGAGAAUCCCGUAUGCGACCGGCGACCAAGCCCAUGUGAAACUCCUUCGACGAGUCGAGUUGUUUGGGAAUGCAGCUCAAAAUGGGUGGUAAAUUUCAUCUAAAGCUAAAUACCGGCCAGAGACCGAUAGCGCACAAGUAGAGUGAUCGAAAGAUGAAAAGCACUUUGGAAAGAGAGUCAAAAAGUACGUGAAAUUGUUGAAAGGGAAGCGCUUGCAACCAGACCUGCCCGCGGGCGAUCAGCCGUCCCUUCGGGGGCGGUGUACUCGCCCGCGAUCAGGCCAGCAUCGGUUCGGGCGGCCGGAUAAAGGCCUUGGGAACGUAGCUCCUUUCGGGGAGUGUUAUAGCCCUCGGUGCAAUGCGGCCAGCCCGGACCGAGGACCGCGCUUCGGCUAGGAUGCUGGCGUAAUGGUUGUAAGCGGCCCGUCUUGAAACACGGACCAAGGAGUCUAACAUCUAUGCGAGUGUUUGGGUGUCAAACCCAUACGCGUAAUGAAAGUGAACGGAGGUGGGAACCCGCAAGGGCGCACCAUCGACCGAUCCAGAUGUCUUCGGAUGGAUUUGAGUACGAGCAUAGCUGUUGGGACCCGAAAGAUGGUGAACUAUACUUGAAUAGGGUGAAGCCAGAGGAAACUCUGGUGGAGGCUCGCAGCGGUUCUGACGUGCAAAUCGAUCGUCAAAUUUGAGUAUAGGGGC